rfam:Blumeria graminis f. sp. hordei DH14, WGS project CATH01000000 data, contig: 001534
CUAACGGCAUUUUUCAAGGCCACAAAAGUUCUCGUAAUAAAUGUGU